rnacentral:misc_RNA from 1 species
AACGAGGCCGACCUGCGGCUGAGUUACCUGCGGAAGGAUCAUUAAUAAAUGUUACUUCGGUAACUUAAUUAAUCCCUAACACCUGUGCAUCUUGUCGCUUCGGCGUCAUUUUAUAAACAUCAGUGUAAUGAAUGUAACGUAUUAUAACAAAUACAACUUUCAACAACGGAUCU